CUCACCCUGGGUCCUUGCACUUGCCUGGAAUGUUCUUCCUUUGACUUUGCUUGUGGUUGGAUUUUUGCAUCCUCUGUAAUUAACUUUUAUUUCCCAUUAAAUAAGCCUUCCAUGAGCAACCUGUUUAAAAUACUGUUGGGGCACCAGGAUGACUCAGUUGGAAGCUGGGGACAGGCUGCUAUAAAUUCCCAGACCAAGAGAAGACACUUCACAUGUGAGCAUGGCAGAGAAGGACCUGAAAAAAGCACAAGAUGAUGAAAUGAGCAAUCCCAGAUGCCUCAGCAGAUUGUACCAUUUUCAUAUAUUUUUGGUUCCACUACCCUGUAUAGAUAACAUGAUUCUUACUUGGGCAGACUUAAUUCACCAUUUUGAUGUCAUGGGGGUACAGCCAUCAUUCACACCAACAAAUGCCACAAAGCAUCUGUUCUUCAAAUGUAGCCCGUGGAUCUUGGACAACCUCAUUCAGCCUCACUCAGGAAGCUUGCUGAACAUACAGAUUCAUGAGCUGAACACAGAAUUACUGAAACAGAGUCUUUGCAAUUUGGAAACAAGCCCUAUAUGAAUUCAAAUGCUAGAGUUCUCCAAACCUUACUCCGAGUUUAGUGAAAAAGUGAUUUUUGCUUUGAUCUAUUUUUAAAAGUCUAGCAACCAACCUGCCUCAAUCCUAAGUAAUUUGUGUUGGGGCUUGUUACCUAUUCACAUGCUGGCAUUUGGUUUUAACCACAGUAGUGAGAGUGAAGAUGGCAUUCACUGACAAGCCAGUGCCAGAGAUUAUCAGAAAUAUUUCUAAAGCCACUGUUAAAACUCGACCCAGUGUUAUGACAUUUGUGGGGUUAUUUUUUCAGUCCUCUGAGGGCAAUGAGAGUUGAGAAGUCCCACAGAAUUCUGAAGGUGGUAAUCUUUUGAAGGGACCAACUCCUGUUUCAAUGUGUAUUAUCAGAUGAUUAGUUUGCGCUUUUACUUAUGUUUCACACUUAAUCAUUAUUUCAGUCCUUUGUGGUGUUUUAUUUUUAUUUUAGCACAGGAGGAAAGUGAGCUUGAGGAAGAUGGAGUCAUUCUGCCAAAUGCACAAACUAGUGAGUGUCAGGGCAGAGUUCAACUUUGACUUCUAGACCCAAAUCCAAGACAUGCUCUUGUUUGGAAGCAAGACUUGCCACCUCAAAAUGUGUCUUUUUCUCAUAAGGGUUAUUUUAGGCUGAUUAUUUUUAGAAGACAGAAGAAUCAAGAAGUUGCUAUUGGUGGUGUUUGCCCCAACUAACGGCCUAAAAGAAUUUAGGUAGAGGACCUGCUCCAUAAAGGGCACCAUCACUACAGAUAAUGACACUAUGACAGAGAGGAACCUUGCAAAGUCUAUUUGUUAAAUUCCUCUCUGUGACCCAUGUAUCUGGAUGGCCUGGCCAAAAUUUACUCUUUUUAAUCCUCCUGUGAAUUGCUCUCCUUCCCUUUGAUGUCCCAGACCCUCCCUUCUCUUUACUUCAGGAUCACAUAUAUGCUCCAUAUUGCCUAUCUUUGGAAACUUGUAUUCAUGUGGA